rnacentral:lncRNA from 1 species
GCACGCAGGGCCGCUGAGGGGCGUACGCGGGACUCGAGUGACGUGAGCACGCACGUAGGGCCCACACAGACACAGGAAGCAUCAACUCUGAGGCUUUGGCCAGGAUGUGAGCCCGACUUUCGCAGCCCCAACUGGCAGGCUGACCUCAUGUGAACUCCCUGGCGAUGGCAUCCUGGAGACACCCACAUGGCUGAGCUGGCAUCAUAGGCACUCAUAAUCCAGGUUCAGUUUCUGCCAGCACUGAUUUGGUUUAUUCCACAUGGCUUGGGCCACUGCGGGACUCCAUUUGUUCUGGGGCCACCUUCCUGUCACCUUUUACUGUUUCUUGAGUUAGCAAGAAAGGCAGAUCCGACUGAAGACUCCAGCACUCUCCUCAGCUGCAGCCCCCACAAAGCUCCGCGAAGUCCUUUCUCCCACAGGACAGAUCUGAGGCACCCACCAUUAGAAGAAAGGAGUGGAGAAAUGAUAUGCAGGAAGAAGGCCCAUUCUGAUUCACCAAUCGCAUGGACGCACUUUCCUACCAGGCUAGGAGGGAGGAAAGUAGAGCCCCACCCUGACUGCUAAGCCGUUUGCUUUGGUGUCAUGAAAAAGAGUUCAGCUUCCCAAAUCAGAGAGGAAAAGGUUUUCAAGGGGUCCCCUAUUUCUAUUAUGUAAGCUUUAAAUGACAAAGUGGACCUCUGGGGCCAACGUGGGUGUGCGAUGGUGGUUUUGUGGGAUUCUCCCCAUAGCCCCAUCAGACGGCCUCACCUUCUGGGUCUCAGUGGCCCCAGGUGCAACACGGCUCCUCCAGAAAUGAUGACAGCCCUGGCGACCAAGGACUCCCUGUGCCACUGGGUUUGC